rnacentral:lncRNA from 1 species
UUUCCCAGGUUUUAUCCUAGGAUUUUUAUAGCUUUAGGUAAUAAUUUGAGAUUUUAAUCCAUUUUAGUUUAUUUCUUUAUAGGGUGAGAGAUAUGGGUCCAGUUUCAUUCUUCUGCAUAUGCCAAUCCAAUUCCAGCAACAUUUGUCUUACAUGCUUCCACAGAGUUUUCUGUGAGAUAUUUAGCUAUGUGAAAAAGACAAAGUUCACACUGAGACUAAUUUUCUCACAUUUAUACUAUUUAAUUCUGUUUGUGUCACCAUCUGAAUGCUAUUUGAGACCUAAGUCACCUGACACCUGCUAACUGAUACCAUUUUCUUUCCCCACUUAUGUUUUCAUUAAGUGAAAUAACAUAGAUACUUUAAAAAUAGAAUGAGCACAACUUAUUGUAGACUAAAAUCAGAUAAAUGUCACAAAUCAGUAUAUUUAAUCUUAAACUCCUGUCCCCAAAGUACAAGAUGUUUACAACAGAUUUUAUUUCUUUACGAUUGCUUUGACUGUGUAUGGGUAUAAUAUUAAUGUCUUAUUUCUAGUUAUGUUGUUGUUGAUGAUGAUUCUUAUGGGGUAUGUCGACAGGGCACCACUUAAUCUAGAAAAAAAUGAGGGGUGGAGGAUAUAACACUGGAAAUCAUCAGGCUAAGUUAGGAGAAACACAUGAAUAAAAGCCAUCAAAUUCAUGAAAUGUAGAGAGUUCAUGAAGACCUAAUGAAAAAUGUACAUACAUGAAGAAGGAGAAAUUACAUAAUUUAUAUGUUUGCAAACACUGCUUUAAGAUGAGAGAAACUCAGGAGGAGCUUAAACAAAGUGUAGGUUCUUUUUAAGGAGGGAAUGCUCUAGAAAUGGGGCUUUCAGGUGCAACUGUGAAACACACUUGCAAAUAAAGUAAACACAUUGUGACCCUAGAGACAGUAUUAGGGAGGAGACUGAGGGUCUAAACAAAUUAUUGUAGCUUGGGUAUAAAAAUAGUUCUUGAAGUCUGCAAGCACCAGAGUGCUUCCGAGUACUAAUGAAUUCUUCAGUCACUGACUACAGUCAAUUCAGCAAAGUUGCAUAUUCAAGUAAUCUUGAAUGUUCUGGGACUGCUAUUUCUGAUCAUGGUCUCAGAAAAGCAUAGCUCUCUCCUCUGGUACUCAGUGUAACUUGGUCUUGGAGCUGAGCAAUCCAACAGCC